rnacentral:rRNA from 1 species
GAUGAACGCUGGCGGCGUGCCUAAUACAUGCAAGUCGAGCGAACAGACGAGGAGCUUGCUCCUUUGACGUUAGCGGCGGACGGGUGAGUAACACGUGGAUAACCUACCUAUAAGACUGGGAUAACUUCGGGAAACCGGAGCUAAUACCGGAUAACAUGUUGAACCGCAUGGUUCAACAGUGAAAGACGGUCUUGCUGUCACUUAUAGAUGGAUCCGCGCCGCAUUAGCUAGUUGGUAAGGUAACGGCUUACCAAGGCAACGAUGCGUAGCCGACCUGAGAGGGUGAUCGGCCACACUGGAACUGAGACACGGUCCGGACUCCUACGGGAGGCAGCAGUAGGGAAUCUUCCGCAAUGGGCGAAAGCCUGACGGAGCAACGCCGCGUGAGUGAAGAAGGUCUUCGGAUCGUAAAACUCUGUUAUUAGGGAAGAACAAAUGUGUAAGUAACUAUGCACGUCUUGACGGUACCUAAUCAGAAAGCCACGGCUAACUACGUGCCAGCAGCCGCGGUAAUACGUAGGUGGCAAGCGUUAUCCGGAAUUAUUGGGCGUAAAGCGCGCGUAGGCGGUUUUUUAAGUCUGAUGUGAAAGCCCACGGCUCAACCGUGGAGGGUCAUUGGAAACUGGAAAACUUGAGUGCAGAAGAGGAAAGUGGAAUUCCAUGUGUAGCGGUGAAAUGCGCAGAGAUGUGGAGGAACACCAGUGGCGAAGGCGACUUUCUGGUCUGUAACUGACGCUGAUGUGCGAAAGCGUGGGGAUCAAACAGGAUUAGAUACCCUGGUAGUCCACGCCGUAAACGAUGAGUGCUAAGUGUUAGGGGGUUUCCGCCCCUUAGUGCUGCAGCUAACGCAUUAAGCACUCCGCCUGGGGAGUACGACCGCAAGGUUGAAACUCAAAGGAAUUGACGGGGACCCGCACAAGCGGUGGAGCAUGUGGUUUAAUUCGAAGCAACGCGAAGAACCUUACCAAAUCUUGACAUCCUCUGACCCCUCUAGAGAUAGAGUUUUCCCCUUCGGGGGACAGAGUGACAGGUGGUGCAUGGUUGUCGUCAGCUCGUGUCGUGAGAUGUUGGGUUAAGUCCCGCAACGAGCGCAACCCUUAAGCUUAGUUGCCAUCAUUAAGUUGGGCACUCUAAGUUGACUGCCGGUGACAAACCGGAGGAAGGUGGGGAUGACGUCAAAUCAUCAUGCCCCUUAUGAUUUGGGCUACACACGUGCUACAAUGGACAAUACAAAGGGUAGCGAAACCGCGAGGUCAAGCAAAUCCCAUAAAGUUGUUCUCAGUUCGGAUUGUAGUCUGCAACUCGACUACAUGAAGCUGGAAUCGCUAGUAAUCGUGGAUCAGCAUGCUACGGUGAAUACGUUCCCGGGUCU